ensembl:lncRNA
AUAAGAGCAAGAAUUCCCAACCCAGGCACCCCGCUGUGAAUCCAAGGCCAGCUCUAGCUCCGCGCACCUGUGCUCGGCGCCCCCUGGACCCUCGGCCCAAUGCCACCUCGAGUCCACGAGAGUCUCCCCCGGCCUGGAGUAGUCCGGUUCCCGCCAGCUCCUUCUCCCCGCCCUCUCCUGGGCCGCUACGGCAGCGCCCGCUGACCCCGCUUCCCUCCUCCUUUCCUCCGCUCCCUAGGUGGAGCUUGAAGGAAACCCCAUCGCGGGCAGAGUGAGGACGGGCUUCUAAGGUGACUGGCCACCCUGCAGCGCGAGUGCCCAGGGGGAAAGGCCAGGCUGUCCCGGGACGGGGCUCGACGCAGGUGAAGAAAUGGAGACACAGAGAGGUUAAGUAACUUGCCCAUGUGCACACAGCUAGUGACAAAUGGCAUUAGAAAACAGGUGACCAGUUCCAUAGUCUAUGUACUUAAUCACCAACUCCAUAAUCCACGCACCUAACCUCUAACAAGAGAUUACUAGUCAUUGGGGUCCCCCCUUAUUUUGCAUCAUUAAAAUUAGCUUCUUGCAGUUUCUACUCCAGAGUCUUUUACAUAAUGAUUCAGAAAUUUUCAGACAAACCAUCACGUCUUCCCAUCACUGCUAUUUCUGUAGCCUGGCAAUGCUUAGUUCUCCCAACAGUCUCUCAUGUGGCAUGAUUUCCACCCAACUAGCACUUCCUCUGGCCGCAUGCCAGCUUUGGGAAGCCUGGUGAAAAACACCUGAGAUUUAUGGUCAGACCCACCUGGCUGGAAUUCUGGCCUCUCUACUCAUGGGCUGUGGCAGAUACUGCUCACUCUUUCCAAGCAGAGCAUCCCCCAUCUGUGAAUAAUUCUGAGCUCCCCAUAUCACUGUCAAGAUACACAAAGUGGGGGGGGGCACUCAUAGUGUGUGCUGCAUGAAGAAUGACUGUUAACUGUUGUUAUAAGCAGUGGCAACUGUAUCCAUUUCCUCCAAAUGGAUCUGGACGUUGAUGAAGUUCCAGUCAAAACCCCGGGAGGCUAAUCUGAAAAAAUUGACUAGCUGAUUCUAAAAUUUAUAUGAAAAUGUAAAGGAUAUAAAAUAUAAAACAGCAAAACAAUAUUAAGAAAGAAGAAAGUUGGCAGACUCAUACUACCUGAUGUCAAGAUUUACUAAAAGCUACAGAAACAAGACGGUAUGAAGGUGGCAUAAAGAAAGACGGAUCAAUGAAACAGAACAGAGAGCCCAGAAAUUGACCCAUACAUAGACACUCGAUUGAUUUUUGACAAAGAUGUGAAGUUGAUUCAACAGGAAAGACUUUUUAUCAGAUGGUACUGGAAAAAAAUGGAUCUCUAUCUGUAAAUAAAGCAAAGCUUUAUCCCUACCUAACACUAAACAUCAAAAACUGAUCUGAGAUGCAUCAUAGACUUAAUGUCUAUGUGAAACAGAAAACUCCAAGAAGACACAGGCCACUGUCUUUAAGAAUUUGGAUUACUUAAGAGGUUAGGGGCAUAAAAAGUAUUAACUAUAAAAGAAAAAAAAAAGGAAAGUAGAAAAUUUUCAAAACCAGACAUUUCUUUUCAUGAAGAGAUGUUAUUAAGAAAAUAAAUAGGCAUUUUAAAAGAUGGGAGGGAAAUAUUGGCAGUACAUAUAAAUAAAGCUUAAAAUGAAAUAUUUACAGAACUUCUAUAAAGCAAUAACAAAAGAUGAGCAACCCAGUGAAAACAUGAGCAAAAUACUUGAACAGACAUUUUUUUUUUUUGGUACCGGGGAUCGAUCUUGGGUCCUUGUGCUUGUGCAGCAGGCGGCGAAACCUCUGAGCUAAAUCCCUGGCCCUUGAACAGACAUUUGAUAGACAAAUGGCCAGUCAUGGAAUUAGCAUCAUUUGUCAUAAGAGAAAUAGAAUUAAAACCAUAAUGAGAGAUCACUGACAAGCACUAGAAUAGUCGA